UUAACUAUUAGAUAGUACUCAGACGACAUUAACAUUCAGAGUUUGGGUUUCCUCUGGCAGGCGCGACCCAGCCGAAGCCGGUGCCCGAGGGCGGCCUGCCAAAGCAACGAAGAUAUACUAUACAAGGGUGGGUGUUUCUACCCGUGAGGGCAGGGACACUGUAAUGAUCCUUCCGCAGGUUCACCUACGGAAA
rnacentral:misc_RNA from 1 species